rnacentral:tRNA from 1 species
CAGCUCUAAAGUGGUUCACACCAAAAUGCAAAUUUGGAAAAGUCACCGAAAGGUGUCUAGAGCUU